UAUACAAUAAAUAAAAAUUAACGAAAAUAUUAAUAUAAAUACAACAUAUUAAGGAACGAAAUAAUAAGCGACAACGCGUGACGUCACGAAGCAACAUGUCGAAUCUUGUUCACAGUGUUCUUCGUUAAGACGCACAUCACUCACAUCAGUGUUUCAGUGUAUUAAUCUUUGUGUCUAAUAUAGUGUAAUAUAUCUAAUAUAGUGUAAUAUAUCUAAUAUAGUAUAUAUCAGUGUAUAAUUAUAUUUUUAUAUAACUUAAAAGUUAUUUGUUAAAUAAGUUCAAUACAAAAACUGAACCAUAAUAAUUUUGUGUUAAACAAAAAAAAGUGUACUAUAAACUUCUCUCUAGACGUUCACUCGGUGUGUAUUGUGUACAAAAUACGAACUUGUGGACUAAUUUAGCUAGAUAAAAAUUUGUGUUGUGUGUAAAGCUUCGUUUUUAUGUUUAAUUACGUAAAACAUUUAAGAUGGCUUUUAUGUAUGCAUUAGUUUUAUUUUUAAAUGAUUCGUCCAAUAAAGAAAUUGAUAUAUUGAAUAUCGUGGUACCGGGUGUAAAUAGCCUGAAUCAUUGUUAUAAAGUACUAAGUAUUGUAAAUUAUUACAAACGAUAGUUAAACAUUGUGAAGGGUCUGACCGACAUGGCCAACGUUUUAUGUUCAAAUAAGUGGCACAGCAGAAACAAUGGAAGAGGCAGAGGAAAAAUUAAUAAGAUUAAAAAGAACCCCUAUUCUUCUCUACCAAUAAUGAGUAGUCUGCUAAAGCAAAAGCGGCUGCUGUUGAAAAAACUUUCAAAUUAAAAGCAUUAGCAAAGGAUUGAUUAAAAAUAGAUAAUAUAUUUAGCCAAAUAGCUUUAGAGUUAACUGACGAACCCACUGAAAUUGCAGGUAAUAUUUAUUAUUUAAAAUGUAAAUAUUGUUGAUUAAUUUCUAAUAAUUUUUUUACUAAUGUUUUUUUUUUACAAGGCAUAUAUAUUAAUUGAUAUAAAUUUAUUUUUAAUCGUUAAUUUUUAUACUAUCAAUUAAGUUAUAAUACUGAAAUUUUAUUUCAAAUUUUUUCAUUCCACUAGAACCCAAGAAAUAAAAGCCAUAAAAAUGUAAUCAAAAAAUUGUGAAGAAACAAGCCUAAAAACAUAGUCUCGAAUGGUCAUCUACAUCAAUAGUGUCUUCGAUAUCUUCAUCACCACCGUCAUUGUUAUGUAAACCUACGAAAAUAAAUAAUGAAACUAAAAAAAACGAAUUAAUGACAGUACUAACUACAUAGUUGGCUCAAAAAAAAGGAAAAAAAUUAGUCAUCAUAAAUCUCAAACAGAAGCUGAAAUGAAUAUAUUAGCAGCUAGAUCAUCAUCAACAAAAAAUACUGUAUCCAGUGGUAAGAAAAAAAUAUAUAUUGUUUUUAAUUUAUUAGGAUAUCUAUACUUAUUAUAAUUAUUUACAAAAUCAUAAUAUAGAUUCCAUUCUGAAAUUGUGGAGUGUUGUAAUCGUGAUAAUAUUUAUCUAUCAAUAUUUAUAUUUACAUCAGUGUCACAAUUUUGAAAUUUAAAUCAUUGUGUUAGUUAAAAAAAAAUAAUAUAUAAUUUAUUUUCAACAGAUUCUUUGCUGGAAUGUAUCAAACAUAAUUAUAACAGUCUAUCAAAACAAUUAGCAAAUUUAAAAGGCCAUAUCUGCUGACGUUCCCAAAUCCUAUCUGAAAUAAAAAAAAUAACAGUACUCAGCUGUUAGAUUUCAGUUUAUUAACAGAUCCUGAAGGAAAUCCAGUGGUCCAAAAAUUAGAAUUUCCGCUAUCAACAAUGGAAGAUAUUAUUUUGAUAAAUUCAAUGAAAAAUUAAAAGGCCAAAAAUAUAAAAAUAAAAUGGUAAGUUUUUAAUAAACUAUAUUCUCAUAUACAAAUAUAUGAAAGAUCUAAUAUAGUUGCUCUAUCUGACAAUAUUGAAAUUGUCAUAUUUGAUAAAAUGCUAAUCAUAAUAAUUAAUUAAUCAUACAAAUAAUUGUAACAAAUUUUCUUUUCCAGAAUAAACGUAUAUACUUUUCUCUCGAUGGAAAAAAUACUUUUACCCGUAAUAUGGGAAAUAUUACUCGUGUUUAUAUAUCAAGAGAUGUCAUAUGUAGCAGUUAGAGCAACUUCAAAAAAAGUUUUCAAAGAUACGACUUUUUCACUUCUAUAAAAAGUAUGUUAAUCAUUAUAUAGUGCAGGAGGAUUACUAUCAUUGAUACCUAAUUAAUUAUUUCUUAAUUAUAUGUUAUUAUUUUAUACCUAAUUUUUAUACCUAAUUUUUAAAAUCUUUUUCUUUUUCCUGUGUAAAAUAUUUUGCCAAGCAAACAAAAAGAAAAAUUAAUUCAUAAUAUUUAAUAACAAUCAUUAUUAUUAUUAUUAACUAUAACAUAAAAAUAAUUGAUAUUGAUAUUUAAAACAAAAAUAAAUAAUACAUUUGAAAAAAUAAAUCGAAAUAAUUUUUUUUUUCAAUCGGAUAAGUUUUAUUUCUGUUUAAGUGCACAAUAAAGUGUAUUGUUAUGUUAUGUUAACUUAAAUAUAUAUAAUAUGUUAUUUUAAAUAUACAUAGUAUGUUAAGUAAUAUAAUAUCAUUUCUUUUUUUUUUUUUUUUGACGUGACGUCUAAUAAAUCGAUUAACGCCGGCUUCGUUACGCUCAUAUGUAUGCUUGUGCCGCAUCUAUCUGAUCGGCCUAUGCAUCCGAGGAGAUGUUUUGUUAUGACGGUUGUCACGUUUAACUAUCGUCUGUUAACCAACUUUGCAGACAACCAAGUUUUUUAAUAAACAAUUUUGUCAAGACUGUACAUUCGUGUUUUAUUUAAAAGGACCGCACUUUUUUUUUUUUUGAUAUCGCAGGGUAACCCAUUUACGGGUGAUAUCCAAGAUGCCCGGGUAGGCAUUCCUAGACCGUAUGUCGGCUUAGCAUUUGGGGGUGCACUACCGACCAAAACCCCUGCGGGAGCCUUCAGCCGCUUUAAUUGGAGGGUCCCGGAUCUGCAGGCAACAGGAUCCCUCCAGCGACAGGCUGGCCUCGGCGAAAAGACCAGACUUCUCCAUGGGACUGUCCGGCUCAC
rnacentral:misc_RNA from 1 species